GAUGAACGCUGACAGAAUGCUUAACACAUGCAAGUCAACUGUGGUGGACGGGUGAGUAACGCGUAAAGAACUUGCGUCACAGCUAGGGACAACAUUUGGAAACGAAUGCUAAUACCAGUUACUUUGAGAGUGCUUUGCGUCCCGUUAUCAACUGGAAGAGGUCACGGCUCACCAAGGCGAUGAUGGGGAGCCGGCCUGGGACGGUGAUAGGCCACAAGGGGAAGGAGACGCGGACCUUAAGCAUACGGGAGACAGGAGUGGGGAAUAUUGGACAAUGGACCAAGGUCGAAUCAAGCAAUUCGUUGUGCACGAUAAAGUUUUCGGAAUGUAAAGUGUUUUCAGUUGGGAAGCGGUACCAACAGAAGAAGUGACGGCUAAAUACGUGCCAGCAGCCGCGGUAAUAC
rnacentral:rRNA from 1 species